rnacentral:lncRNA from 1 species
GGUGUGCAGUAGCCGCCAGCGGAGCAGCACAGCACAGCGGUAGAAGGUCCCCGAACAGUGCCAUGGCUGCCGCCCGAAUCCCGUCCCGCUCCUGCAAGGCAGAGGCUCAGAGGCACGGCCAGACCUGUCCAGGGGUCCCAGCUUUGGUCCAAGUUGGGACCCCACACCUUGUAGGGGUACAACUCAGUUCUUUCUGCAGGAUUCCUUCACCCAGGCUCUCGGCUCCCGGGGAAGGGAAGGGCUGGGGCUCCCCCCUCACACAGGGCUCUCUGGUGUCCCUGAGGAUGUAAGAAUCACAUCUCCCUUCUACCCACAACUGCAUCCUGGCAGCCCAGGCCUCAUGAAUGCAUUUGAGGGGCGCCUAUCCCCCAGAUUCCCCAGUGAAGGAAAAACAGCCACGCUAACCGUGCUGACAUGUCAGAAAGCAAAUCUGGGUAGGCUGUCGUGGGGCCGGAGACCACUGCACUUGGAGACUGAACGUGAGAACUAGUUCAGCCCUGUGGAGAAGGGCCAGUUCCGUCUUCUCCACUUGAUUGCGUGUUUGCAGUGAUUUCCUGAGUUAUCGGGAUGAAUGGUCAGAAAGCAGUGUGCCCACCAAUGGAUGUUUCCUGCCAUUGGGCCCCUUAGCAGUGACUUGGGUGCAAACCAGGG